AUGAGCGGCCCGCCAGAAAACGUCAUUCGAACGUCUCGUAAAAUGGCUUAUCACCCAGAUGUUUGUUGACAUUUUACUUCGUAAACUACUUUACAAACUACCAUACCUACGUACAAAAAGUUUAAUUCGUUUUUCUCCGUAACGGUUUUGUAUGAGAAAUUCAACAUUUUUGUAAGGAACCCAUUGUAGAGCUAGCAAAUUGUUGGCCGACUGGUCGCUAAAAUACACAAAAUACGCCAAAA